rnacentral:rRNA from 1 species
ACGGGUGAGUAACGCGUGGGAACGUGCCCUUCGGUUCGGGAUAACUCAGGGAAACUUGAGCUAAUACCGGAUACGCCCUUAGGGGGAAAGAUUUAUUGCCGAAGGAUCGGCCCGCGUCCGAUUAGCUAGUUGGUGAGGUAACGGCUCACCAAGGCGACGAUCGGUAGCUGGUCUGAGAGGAUGAUCAGCCACACUGGGACUGAGACACGGCCCAGACUCCUACGGGAGGCAGUAGUGGGGAAUAUUGGACAAUGGGCGCAAGCCUGAUCCAGCCAUGCCGCGUGAGUGAUGAAGGCCCUAGGGUUGUAAAGCUCUUUCGCCAGGGACGAUAAUGACGGUACCUGGAUAAGAAGCCCCGGCUAACUUCGUGCCAGCAGCCGCGGUAAUACGAAGGGGGCUAGCGUUGUUCGGAAUCACUGGGCGUAAAGCGCACGUAGGCGGAUCUUUAAGUCAGGGGUGAAAUCCCGAGGCUCAACCUCGGAACUGCCUUUGAUACUGGAGGUCUCGAGUCCGGGAGAGGUGAGUGGAACUGCGAGUGUAGAGGUGAAAUUCGUAGA